CGGCGGACGGGUGAGUAAUGUCUGGGAAACUGCCCGAUGGAGGGGGAUAACUACUGGAAACGGUAGCUAAUACCGCAUAAUGUCUACGGACCAAAGCGGGGGACCUCCGGGCCUCGCGCCAUCAGAUGAACCCAUAUGGGAUUAGCUUGUAGGUAAGGUAACGGCUUACCUAGGCGACGAUCCCUAGCUGGUCUGAGAGGAUGAUCAGCCACACUGGGACUGAGACACGGCCCAG
rnacentral:rRNA from 1 species